AACUUAGUAUCAGAGCCUAAGGUUCAAUAGAGUCCUAGGAAGUCUGAAAGCCGCAUCUAGUAGAGUCUUGUACAUGGGUGUGUUGCGCACUACAUUUAUGUGCAGGAGGCUAUAAGAUGUUUUAGGAACAAUUUUGCUUCUUUCAGUAUUCAUGUCGUGCUAGUGAGCAUAAUUUCAUUCUAAUCUCUCAGUCUAAUCCAUUUCUUCCUUUCUUCUACAGAACAUGCCUCCU
rnacentral:lncRNA from 1 species